rnacentral:rRNA from 1 species
GACGAACGCUGGCGGCGUGCUUAACACAUGCAAGUCGAACGGUAAGGCCCUUCGGGGUACACGAGUGGCGAACGGGUGAGUAACACGUGGGUGAUCUGCCCUGCACUUCGGGAUAAGCCUGGGAAACUGGGUCUAAUACCGGAUAGGACCACUGCCUGCAUGGGUGGUGGUGGAAAGCUUUUGCGGUGUGGGAUGGGCCCGCGGCCUAUCAGCUUGUUGGUGGGGUGGUGGCCUACCAAGGCGACGACGGGUAGCCGGCCUGAGAGGGUGACCGGCCACGCUGGGACUGAGAUACGGCCCAGACUCCUACGGGAGGCAACAGUGGGGAAUAUUGCACAAUGGGCGCAAGCCUGAUGCAGCGACGCCGCGUGAGGGAUGACGGCCUUCGGGUUGUAAACCUCCUUCAGCACCGACGAAGCGCAAGUGACGGUAGGUGCAGAAGAAGGACCGGCCAACUACGUGCCAGCAGCCGCAGUAA